UAAGACAGAAGGUGCAAGCGUUACUCGGAAUUACUGGGCGUAAAGCGUCUGUAGGUGUCUUUCCACGUCUGGCGUUAAAUUUCGGGGCUCAACCCCGUCUAUGUGCCGGAAACGAGAGAGAUCGAGUCAGUCAAAGGUAGCUGGAAUGUCGUGUGUAGGGGUAAAAUCCGUAGAUACACGAUGGAACGCCAAAAGCGAAAGCAGGCUACUAGGACUGUACUGACACUCAGAGACGAAAGCGUGGGGAGCAAAGGGG
rnacentral:rRNA from 1 species